rnacentral:rRNA from 4 species
CCGAACCGACUAAUGUUGAAAAAUUAGCGGAUGACCUGUGGCUGGGGGUGAAAGGCCAAUCAAACCGGGAGAUAGCUGGUUCUCCCCGAAAGCUAUUUAGGUAGCGCCUCGUGAAUUCAUCUCCGGGGGUAGAGCACUGUUUCGGCUAGGGGGCCAUCCCGGCUUACCAACCCGAUGCAAACUGCGAAUACCGGAGAAUGUUAUCACGGGAGACACACGGCGGGUGCUAACGUCCGUCGUGAAGAGGGAAACAACCCAGACCGCCAGCUAAGGUCCCAAAGUCAUGGUUAAGUGGGAAACGAUGUGGGAAGGCCCAGACAGCCAGGAUGUUGGCUUAGAAGCAGCCAUCAUUUAAAGAAAGCGUAAUAGCUCACUGGUCGAGUCGGCCUGCGCGGAAGAUGUAACGGGGCUAAACCAUGCACCGAAGCUGCGGCAGCGACACUGUGUGUUGUUGGGUAGGGGAGCGUUCUGUAAGCCUGUGAAGGUGUGUCGUGAGGCAUGCUGGAGGUAUCAGAAGUGCGAAUGCUGACAUAAGUAACGAUAAAGCGGGUGAAAAGCCCGCUCGCCGGAAGACCAAGGGUUCCUGUCCAACGUUAAUCGGGGCAGGGUGAGUCGACCCCUAAGGCGAGGCCGAAAGGCGUAGUCGAUGGGAAACGGGUUAAUAUUCCCGUACUUGGUGUUACUGCGAAGGGGGGACGGAGAAGGCUAUGUUGGCCGGG